GCAUCAGUGUUCGUUCAGUAUUCGAGGAGGGGGGGUCAAUGGAGAAUUUACUUCUCCUCAGUACUGUCUGUGAAAACAUUUUUUUGGAGGAGCAAAGGAAGCCAAUAAAUAUCAAGAGGGUAUGUGCUGUAAAGAACUGUAUUCCUGAUUUAUAUGGGGAAUCCUUCCACAGGAUUCCUACAAGGCUGAAGGAAAGAUGGAUCAAAGUAAUAUAUUGCCAAGAAAUUGUGUAACAAAGUUGAAGGCCUCAUAUCUGAAACCACAACCAGUAGCUGGAUUAAUCUUAAAACCGGGGAUCACUGUAUUCCCCAAGCAAGGAGCUUGUGAAAAGUAUUCACCAUUAUGAAGAAGUUUUUGUCAGGUUACACGGUGAAAAUAUAUGUAGGCAACCAGAUCCUAUGGGGAGAACUACAGAGGCCAUUCUGAAGAUAGACCAGAACUGGCCAAAACUCGUAGUGGACCUUUUUGUUAAAAUACGCUUUUUUCAACGUUUAAGAGUUUUGAACUCUCAGCUCAAGGAAAAACACAAAACCAAUUGUGUAAGAAAUUUGAAGCAAAAAGCUGAGUUUAUUUUUUGAAUAAAUUUGUCUAAAU